AAUAAACAUUUUCCAUCCGUCAAUGAAACUUUAGUUUUAUACUAAGUCCAUUCUUUAUUUUCGAACAGCCUUCUUCAACUAUGACGAAGAUAAGCGUUCUUUACCGACCACCUGCCAUUAGUGCUUAUGGACUUUUCGAAAUAAAUUUAAAUUUUUUCUAUCAGAUGAUUGCAGCCAUUUUUACACAAUGCGUGAUACUUUUCCAGUUCCAAAGCUUUGAACCACAAUGAAUUCCUUCGAAGGAUAAAACAUGUUAGUGGGUGCCCAUUCUUUUGCAUUCGGAUAUCAAAUAAUUACCUCUGUAACAAUCUACCUCGCAUACAAAUAGUAAUAUUUCUACAAUAAAUCAUGGUUUUUAACGAAUAAGAAA